rnacentral:rRNA from 1 species
GAUGAACGCUGGCGGCGUGCCUAACACAUGCAAGUCGAGCGGACGGACGAGAAGCUUGUUUCUCGGAUGUUAGCGGCGGACGGGUGAGUAACACGUGGAUAACCCACCUAUAAGACUGGGACAACUUCGGGAAACCGGAGCUAAUACCGGGGAAUAUCUUGAACCGCAUGGUUCAAAAGAGAAAGACGGUCUUGCUGUUACUUACAGAUGGAACCGCGCUGCAUUAGCUAGUUGGUAAGCUAACGGCUUACCAAGGCAACGAUGCGUAGCCGACCUGAGUGGGUGGUCGCCCACAUGGGAGCGUGGACGCCGUCCAGGCGCCUACGGGACGCAGCAGUAGCGAAUCUUCCGCAAUGGGCGAGAACCUUGCGGAGCAGCGGCACGUGAGUGGUAACGGUCUUCGGUUCGUAAAACUCUGUUAUUAGUGAAGAACAUAUUUGUAAGUAACUGUGCACAUCUUGACGGUACCUGGUCAGGAAGCCCCGGCUAACUACGUG